GAAAUAGUGAUCUUUUAAGAAUGUAUGGUUAAAAAAGAAUAAAAAGUUUUGAGUUUACGUGUAAUAUUAUUUUAUUAGAGAAUGUGUACUAUGUAGUUAAAAAGAAGAAAGAGAAAUAUGUAUUUUAGAAAUAAUGGAGGCCAAACAGGGGGUAAAUCUCAACAUUUUUUUUGUUAAAUCAGGCUAAAUAUUAAAAGAGUUUAUUAUAUCAAAAAUUAUACUUAACCAAACACAAAAAUAUCACCAACAAGGAGUAAUCUAUAGGGUCUAGACACACAAGGUUACAAUAAAGGCAUUAAUUUUGAUCCAACUUAGCAAGUAGUCUACUCCAUUUUAUCAAGUUUCCAGUCCAAUGCACGACUUAAGGACUCGUCGAGCAAUUGUCACAUUACAUGGGAAGGCUGAGGAAGUUGUAAGUGAAAAGAACUAGAAGGUGAAUCGUCUUCCAGACUUAUGUCACUUAGAAUAGAAUCCUCCGCCUCAGUCCUCCUUCAACCAUCAUCCACUAAUAACAUAUCAACUAACUCGUAAGCUUCGUCAACAAUGACAGCAUACAACAUCCACAUGCUACAAAUAUUAUUUUCAAUCAUAAUUAUGUUGGGUUUAUUAAUUUGUUACGUGGGCUUACAUAUAUAAUUAACUGUGUAUAAGGUUAUCUUAAAGUUAAGCUUAAUUAAAGUGAUUUAAUAAAGAAUUAAAUUGUUCGGUGUAGGGCAUUCAAAUAAGGUGUGGACACAUUCUUUAUGUCAUCACAUCAACACAAUAAUACAAGAGGAAACAUAUUGAAGAAGAUCCAAAACCUACAAUCAAACCCACAAUCAAGAAUUAAGAUGAUCAAUAACCAAUAUUCAAGAUCCGGAAUUAAGAUGCAGUAUUAAAGAAAUAUUCCCAAUGAAUUAAGGUAUGUUCCACACUUUAUAAUUCUCGUGAUGACUUGAUUGGAGGAUCUUGACAAUAAAGUAAUUAUAUUUUCUAGUUUUGAGAUUUGAUGUUUCAACGAGUGGUAUUAGAGCCAACUCCAUGUUAAACCAUUGAGAUUAAAGGAAGAUUUUAGGGUUAAAUUCAUACUUUGGUUUUACAAAACGUUGGGUUGUGAAUUUCAAAUCCUAGGUAUCAAAAUUUUGGAAUUUUUGGGAUUUUUCAGUAUUGCUACAGCGUCGUAGCAUUGCGACGCCAUGUUAGGGCGUCACGAGCUGCGUUCAGUUAAGUUGGCAACGCCCUAUUGUCGCUGGGUAUUGCAGCGCCCUAAUUCUAUCCCCAUUAUUUUUUUUCUUUCGGACACAGAAGAGAAAAAUAAAAAUAAAAUAUAAAGGUAUCAUCAAUUUCAAAUCUUAGUACUUAAUAUUUAUUUCAGAUUACUAAUUUCUUAAAAUAGAUUAGUUGAAGUAACAUAUUAUCAAAGUAACCUCUCUUGUCUAAAUUAAUUUAUUUAGAAUAUUAGGAGGGUUGUGUGUAUGUUAUUCAUUCGAAUAUUCACCGGUCCAAAUAAAAGGUCAAUAUUUGGCUGAACUAUUUGCACACGUGGUAAUAAAUGUGACAAUUGUAAUGUUUUUCAUUAUGUUAACAAUGAGUUAGUCCAAAGAUAAACUUGAUCUUUGAUCAGAUUUAUUGUCAAUAUUUGAUUACUAUACUAAGACUACAACUUACUAGAUAUUUUCGUCCGAAGAUUAAAUUUCAAUGCUGUGCUAGAUCUCUUGUGAUGGGACGCACCAUUAUUUGAAAUUAUCGAUUGUCCAAUAUGGAUUCCAUGUGAACAUGUUAAUUAGGUUUAAGUUUUCUAUUAAGUUAAUCCAUCAACUUCUACAAUUUCUGCCAACAUCAUUUCAAUUCUUGUGCUUGAAUCAAAAUUUAAGGACUGGAAUGAGAACGUUUUCAUUGUUCUUAGCGGCAUGGAUCUAGACCUUGCUUUAAGGAUUGAACAAUCCACUGCUCUUACGGAUAAAAUUUUCACUAAUAAAAAGGGACUCAAAUAAGUGGAAUCAUUUAAACCGCAUGGAUCUUGUGAUCAUAAAACAUGGAGUUCCACUAACAUUCAGGGGCCUAAGGUAACUAAUGCCAAGGGAUUUCUUAAAGAAAUUGAAAAAAAGCUUUCCAAAAAGCAAUAGGGCUGAAAUUAGCUCGCUUCUGGCGAACUUGGCUUCGUUAAAGAAUAAGGUUGAAUAAAACAUAAAUGAGUAGUACAUUAUGGAUGUCUCGUCUUGCUUUAAGAUUAAAGGCAUUAAAGUUUAAGUUGUUUGAUGACUUUCUCGUGCAUUUGAUUUUGAUUUCUCUUCUUGCACAACUCGAUUAAUUUAAGGUCAGUUACAGUUGCCAAAAAGGGAAUGGACUCCCUAUGAGCUCAUUUCACAUUGUGUGAGAGAAGAAAAAUGUUUAAAGUAAGAGAGAACUGGAAAUACUUACUUGGUUAGUACGUCUAAUAACAAGUUAAAGAAAAAGGAAACUGCAUUUAGUUCAGUUCAAAAGAAGCAGCAAAAGCUGAAAAGAAUUAAGCAAGAGAGCCAACUGGCGGCAAGUUCUCGUAUAUAAAAAAAUGCAAGCAAUUGUCUUGACUCAAUCAAUGAUCUGAUUUACCAAAAUCAUUGGGAAAAAGUAUUUAUUUUUAAAAUAAUUACAGGGUGGACGGGGACUAUAAAUAUCCAGCCUCUGCUGCAUGCAAAAGCGCAAGCCUCUCCUACAGAGUCUAUUCUUCACCACAUUAAUUUCCUCCAUUAUUAAGCUUUUGAUUUCAUUUUUUAAGCGAAAAUAUGGAAAUCUAAAAAAAAAAAAUUAAAAGGUUUUCAAGCUGCCGGGGAGUCUCUUUUGAGAUUAAACCACAUUCUGAUCCAUUUGCCCUCCCAACUUCGGCCAUAAUGGAAGCUUUUCUAAACUGGUUCCUUAAUUGGAAACAGUCAGAUUGAUCUUUUGCUUAAUUCAAUUAUUGCGGAUGCCAGUUCUUUAUUUGGUUAUGUAACCUAUAUUUGCUUAAUACAUUUGCCUCUUAUAAAGAACAUUACAUGUGAAUUCACAUGGUAUUAAACAUAAAUUAAUUGAUGAGAAUUUCACUUCAUUAUGGAACAAGCUAUUAGGUCACAUAUCUCAAAAUAAAAUAGAAUGGCUUAUGAUCCCCCUGAUUUUACAAACCUUAAUGUUUGUGUUAAUUACAUUAAUGAGAAACAAAUAAAUAUAAGGAGAUUAGGUGUCAAAAGAACUUCAGACGUCUUAGAACUAAUUCAUGUGGAUAUCUAUGGGACAUUCCUUUCGGCUUCUUAGAAUGGUCAAUGGUCAUUUAUUACGUUCAUAGACGAUUUUUCUCAUUAUGACUAUAUCUCAUUCAAAAGGAAUCUCAAUAACUAGACAAGUUCAAGCUUUAUAAAAUAAUUUAGGUUAGAUCUUACUAUAGUGGUUAAUACUAUGACGGAUUAGGAGAACAACGUCCAGAGCCUUUUCCUAAAUUCCUAAAGGAAUGUGUAAUCAUCUCACAGUACAGCAAAAUCUCUCUUUCUAAAGAUUGCAACUUAAGUUCUCUAUAAAAUUCCAAAUAAAGCAACUAUUAAACCCCUUAUGAACUUUGGAUGGGCAAGAAGCCUAAUUUGAAGCACUUGUACAUUUAGGGUUGUUCGGUUAAGGCAAGGCCUUGUAGGCCAUAAAAAAAAAACAAGCUGGACUCCAAAAUUGUCAGUUACUACUUUAUUGGAUAAUUUGAAAGGUCAAGGGGUUACAAAUUUUAAGAUCCACUAUCAGGUCAAUUUUCAAAAUAGAAAAUGUCCAAUUUUUUUACGAUGCCGAGUUUACGGAAGGAGAUAAGGUUAUAAGGUUAAGGAUUUUAUCUUGGAAGAAGAAUAUGUACAUAUUUCUUCUAUUACAAUUGACAAUGAUUAGGACCAGGGACAUUCUUGCUCCAGAUCUAGUUUCACUCCAACUAAAGUUUAUAGUUGAUCCCGUUAAAGAAUAAGGUAGGGCCAUUUGGAAUUAGGGAUAUUUAGAUUUCAUUGCAUGUAAUUUUCAUGCAAUACAUCCAUACUUGAUCUAUGUUGAUUGUGUUGAUAUACAUGACCAUUAAGGGUUUAGUUAUGAUAUUUGUAACAAAGACCGCUUUGAUCCUAUAUUAAUAUAAUCAAUGGAUGAGACUGUUCAGAGAUGCUUUUGGCUAUGAUAGCAAAAGUUUUGAUGUCAUAAUGUUAUACACUUAGCAGGUAACAUAUGUGGCUCAAGUGGGAGAUUGUUGGGUUUAUUAAUUUAGCUGGAAGAUCCUGGCAAUAAAGUAAUUAGGUUUUCAAGUUUUGAGAUUUAAAGUUUCAUAAAAUUCUAACAGAUUAAUGAUAAAACAAAAUAAAAAUGACUCAUAGAUAAGUAUAAACGCAAUCGUGCCAUUUUUGCCUACUUUUGAAAAUGAAAGUAGAAAUUUGACACUAAUUUCAUCACCAAUGAGACUUAGUUUGUCAAAAAAGAGGAUGUCAAAGAUGAUAUAAUGCUGAGAAAAAUAGGCUUUAAAAUAAAUAUAACCAUACUCCAACUAUGGUUUUCCAACUAUUAAGACUGGAUAGUUUGCCCCUCCAACUCUAAUAACUAGCUAUUUCGAUCCUCCAACUAUUUGUACCCACCAUUUUAGUCCUCACAUUAGCACUUAAAACCAUAUUUGUGCCUCCAUCACUAGUCAACUCCACUUUGUUCCCCCAACUACGGUUUGUACCAUAUUGAUCAUUCUUCUAUCAGGAAUAGGUUUAGUUCUCAAAGUAUCAGUCCAAUUAGGUCUUAUAACUAAUAUUUUUCAUCAUUUUGGUGAUUAGGUUAUUCUUAUGCGAGGGUCCCUUUUGCUCUCUUACUCUUCCCCAGCUCUUAUUCCUUAGCUGGCUUCGUUCAGCUGACCUUUCACUUGGGGUUUUGCUCCUGGCUGGCCUAACCAAGGCUGUCAAUUUGAUCCAGCAAUUUACAAAUUUCAAUUCUGAUCUCCAACUAUUUGUCAGCAUCAAUUUUGUCCUUUAGCUAUCUGUCAAAACGAACUUAGUCCCUCAAUUAUGCCCUUCUUGAAUUUUCCCUCAAACUAUUAUUUAGCACCACUUUAGUCCUCAAACUAUCAUCAGCGUCAAUUUUUCUCCCUCUAUCACUAAGCGACACUGGUUCUUCAGCUGUCCAUUCCCUUCACUUCUGUACUCCAUGUUCGUUUCAAACGAGUUUGGUCCCCCAACCUCAAUUCGAUCAAGGUAUAUAUUAGAUCAUAUAAUUGAUUCUGUUAAUUUGAGUGAGUGAGUGAUAAGCUGUCAUAGUUGGUAGUUAAUGUUGAACUGUCAUGUAACUAAUUCUAAACACCAGUCAGCCUAUUUAUAUUGUUUGGAUUGUAACACAUGAUACAUGUUUUCAUGAAAUGAAUUUCUUCUCUACGGUUGUUCUCUCCAGAUUCUACUCUAAUCUUCAAACCUUGGUAUCAGUAUUCUCUUCCAUUUAUUCUCUUCAAACAUUAAUAUGGUAUCAGAGCAGGUUGCUUGAUCUGCUGUAAGUAGUCUCAUGAAAAUUCAAAACUGUUCAAACGUAGGGUGCCACUUUCUUUUCCUUUUCUUUCUCUUGGAUAUUGAACUGAGAUCAUCUUCAAGUAAAUCCACCUUAUAUGAAACUUCGAAUCCAUAUUACCUUCAUCAUUCUGAUAGCCCAGGAUUGGUACUAGUUUCGCAGCCUCACCGGAGAAAAUUAUACCUCCUGGAGUAGAGUGAUGCUGAUCGCAUUGUCCAUGAAAAACAAGCUUGGAUUUGAGGAUGGAUCAAUUGAAAAGCCUGAAGGUACUGAUUCGGAUGUCCUCAGCUCUUGGACUAGAAAUAACAAUGUAGAUAUUUUUUGGAUAUUGAAUUCUGUUUCUAAGGAAAUUUCUGCUAGUAUUAUAUAUGUUGAGUCCACACAUGAAAUAUGGCUUGAUCUUAAAGAAAGUUUCCAACUGAAAUAUAAACCUAGGAUCUUCCAGCUAAAGCAUGAAUUGAUGAGUUUAGCUCAAGAUCAAAAUUCUGUUAGCAUAUACUUUACAAAACUGAAAACUACAUGGGAAGAAUUAAGCAAUUAUAGGCCUGUAUGUUCUUGUAGCAAAUGCACUUGUGGUGGUGUUAAGAAUCCUAGUUCUUAUUAUCAGAUUGAGUGCGUAAUGUCUUUUCUUAUAGGACUAAAUGAUUCUUAUUCACAAGUUCGAGGACAAUUACUUUUCAUGGAUCCAUUACCGUCUACAAAUAAAGCUUUUGCUCUAAUCUCGCCAGAAGAAGAUCAGAGGAAGAUCACUAGCCAAGUUGGUUGUACUUCAGAUCCUGUUGGAAGUAUGACGUUUACUGUUAAAUCAUAUAAUGCUAAACGCCCUGGAAUUCCUAAUUCUGGAACUAUAGCAAUGGUAGUAAUCGAAAUGAUUCAACAAUGGAGGUUACAAAGGAUAGAAGAAAGAGGGACCUUUUUGUACCCAUUGCAACUUCCAUGGCCAUACGGUUGAUAGAUGCUAUGAGAUUCAUGGCUACCCACCUGGUUACAAAGUAAGAGACAGAGAUAACUCAGCCUAUACCAGCAACAACAUUGCAAUUAAUCAGGUGUCAAAUCAGAAUGAACAACAAAGUGAAAUGGGGAGCUUUGUCCAAAAUCUCAAUUCCAACCAAUACCAACAUCUCAUGUCUAUGCUGUCAAAUUAUUUGGCCUCCUGUCAAAACUACUGAUGAUUUUACUACUACUUAUAUGGCAGGUAUUUGAAUCUCAAUUGCAUUUGAGUUCUAUCUUUUCAUUUACUCAAUAUUGGAUAGUUGAUUCCGGUGCUAUAAGGCAUAUAUGUUCAACUGCUGAUGCUUUCGAUUCUAUGAAACCUUCUUAAAAUUCCAAGGUCACCUUACCAAAUCAUACUCAAAUCCCAGUGAACUACUCUGGUGACAUUAGACUGAGCUCUAUGCUUGUCCUCAAGGAUUUUUUAUAAGUUCCUCGAUUCAAGUUUAACCUGAUAUCUAUAAGUGCACUCACUUGUGGAUCAAAUCUCACGAUCAACUUUCUUCCUGAUUGCAGCAGUAUCCAAGAACACAACACCGAGAAGAUGAUUGGCAAGGGUGAUAAGUUUGAAGAUCUCUAUGUUCUGGAUAAAAAAAACAAUCUGAAUUUUUUCUCUACAACAUAUGUAAAUACCGUUUCAGCUCAUAUAUGGCAUAGAAGGCUUGUCUAUCUUCUGACGUUUAGAUACUUUGAAACACCAUUUGCAUUGUGAUGUAUCUAGAUUGAAUAAAGCUGAUCUUUGUUACAUUUGUCCCCUUGCAAAAG
rnacentral:lncRNA from 1 species